CAGUGCCAUGGCCGUCUGAGCUAAGCACAACGAAAAUGAAAAGGCGCAGAACUCUGCGCCUUUUUU
rnacentral:sRNA from 1 species